rnacentral:rRNA from 1 species
GAUGAACGCUGGCGGCGUGCCUAAUACAUGCAAGUCGAGCGAACGGACGAUAAGCUUGCUUCUCUGAUGUUAGCGGCUGACGGGUGAGUAACACGUGGAUAACCUACCUAUAAGACUGGGAUAACUUCGGGAAACCGGAGCUAAUACCGGAUGAUAUUUUGAACCGCAUGGUUCAAAAGUGAAAGACGGUCUUGCUGUCACUUAUAGAUGGAUCCGCGGUGCAUUAGCUAGUUGGUAAGGUAACGGCUUACCAAGGCAACGAUGCAUAGCCGACCUGAGAGGAUGAGCGGCGACACUGGAACUGAGACACGGUCCAGACUCCGACGGGAGGCAGCAGUGGGGAAUAUUGGACAAUGGGCGCAAGCCUGAACCAGCCAUACCGCGUGGGUGAAGAAGGCCUUCGGGUUGUAAAGCCCUUUUGUUGGGAAAGAAAAGCAGCAGGUUAAUACCCCGCUGUUCUGACGGUACCCAAAGAAUAAGCACCGGCUAACUUCAUG